rnacentral:rRNA from 1 species
AUACGGAGGGGGUUAGCGUUGUUCGGAAUUACGGGGCGUAAAGCGCACGUAGGCGGACUGAUCAGUUAGAGGUGAAAUCCCAGGGUUCAACCCUGGAACUGCCUUUAAUACUGUCAGUCUAGAGAUCGAGAGAGGUGAGUGGAAUUCCAAGUGUAGAGGUGAAAUUCGUAGAUAUUUGGAGGAACACCAGUGGCGAAGGCGGCUCACUGGCUCGAUACUGACGCUGAGGUGCGAAAGCGUGGGGAGCAAACAGGAUUAGAUACCCCAGUAGUCC